GGUCAAGCGAAUAAGCGCACACGGUGGAUGCCUUGGCGGUCAGAGGCGAUGAAGGACGUGGCAGCCUGCGAAAAGUAUCGGGGAGCUGGCAACAAGCUUUGAUCCGGUAAUGUCCGAAUGGGGAAACCCACCCGCUUGCGGGUAUCCUGCAGUGAAUACAUAGCUGCUGGAAGCGAACCUGGUGAACUGAAAUAUCUAAGUAACCAGAGGAAAAGAAAUCAACCGAGAUUCCGUAAGUAGCGACGAGCGAACGCGGACUAGCCCUUAAGCUGGAUUGGUUCUAGGAAAACGCUCUGGAAAGAGCGGCCAUAGAAGGUGAUAGCCCUGUAUCUGAAAGGGCCAUUCCAGUGAAGACGAGUAGGGCGGGGCACGUGAAACCCUGUCUGAACAUGGGGGGACCAUCCUCCAAGGCUAAAUACUACUGACCGACCGAUAGUGAACCAGUACCGUGAGGGAAAGGCGAAAAGAACCCCGGAGAGGGGAGUGAAAUAGAACCUGAAACCGUGUGCGUACAAGCAGUAGGAGCUCCGCAAGGAGUGACUGCGUACCUUUUGUAUAAUGGGUCAGCGACUUACUGUUCGUGGCAAGCUUAACCGUAUAGGGGAGGCGAAGGGAAACCGAGUCUGAUAAGGGCGCAUAGUCGCGGGCAGUAGACCCGAAACCGGGUGAUCUAGUCAUGCCCAGGGUGAAGGUGCGGUAACACGCACUGGAGGCCCGAACCCACUCCCGUUGCAAAGGUAGGGGAUGAGGUGUGAUUAGGAGUGAAAAGCUAAUCGAACCCGGAGAUAGCUGGUUCUCCUCGAAAGCUAUUUAGGUAGCGCCUCAUAUGUAUCCUCUCGGGGGUAGAGCACUGUUAUGGCUAGGGGGUCAUCGCGACUUACCAAACCAUUGCAAACUCCGAAUACCGAGACGGACUGUAUGGGAGACACACGGCGGGUGCUAACGUCCGUCGUGAAAAGGGAAACAACCCAGACCCACAGCUAAGGUCCCAAAUUCACUGCUAAGUGGAAAACCAUGUGGAAAGGCACAGACAGCCAGGAGGUUGGCUUAGAAGCAGCCACCCUUUAAAGAAAGCGUAAUAGCUCACUGGUCGAGUCGGUCUGCGGGGAAGAUUUAACGGGGCUAAGCAGUGAACCGAAGCUUGGGGUGCAUACUUUGUAUGCGCGGUAGAGGAGCGUUCCGUAAGCCGUUGAAGGUGGAUUGAGAAGUCUGCUGGAGGUAUCGGAAGUGCGAAUGCUGACAUGAGUAACGAUAAUGCGGGUGAAAAACCCGCACGCCGAAAGCCCAAGGUUUCCUUGCGCAACGUUAAUCGGCGCAGGGUGAGUCGGCCCCUAAGGCGAGGACGAAAGUCGUAGUCGAUGGGAAGCAGGUUAAUAUUCCUGCACCUCGCGUAAGUGCGAUGGAGGGACGGAGAAGGUUAGGUGUACCAGGCGUUGGUUGUCCUGGGGAAAGGCGGUAGGUUUGGAUCUUUGGCAAAUCCGGGAUCCUCUAAGACCGAGCACCGAGACGAGCCUUUAUGGCGAAGUCACUGAUACCACGCUUCCAGGAAAAGCUCCUAAGCUUCAGCUUACGCAGACCGUACCGUAAACCGACACAGGUGGGUAGGAUGAGAAUUCUCAGGCGCUUGAGAGAACUCGGGUGAAGGAACUAGGCAACAUGGCACCGUAACUUCGGGAGAAGGUGCACCCUUUUUGGUGGCUCGUGCGAGCUAUAGCUGAAGAGGGUCGCAGUAACCAGGCCGCUGCGACUGUUUAUCAAAAACACAGCACUCUGCAAACACGAAAGUGGACGUAUAGGGUGUGACGCCUGCCCGGUGCUGGAAGGUUAAUUGAUGGGGUCAGCCGCAAGGCGAAGCUCUUGAUCGAAGCCCCAGUAAACGGCGGCCGUAACUAUAACGGUCCUAAGGUAGCGAAAUUCCUUGUCGGGUAAGUUCCGACCUGCACGAAUGGCGUAACGACAGCGGCGCUGUCUCCACCCGAGACUCAGUGAAAUUGAAAUCGCUGUGAAGAUGCAGCGUUCCCGUGGCAAGACGGAAAGACCCCGUGAACCUUUACUAUAGCUUUACACUGAACGUUGAGUUCGUCUGUGUAGGAUAGGUGGGAGGCUAUGAAACUGUGGCGCUAGCUGCAGUGGAGCCAUCCUUGAAAUACCACCCUGUCGUGCUUGACGUUCUAACCUGGGCCCAUUAUCUGGGUCGGGGACCGUGUAUGGUGGGUAGUUUGACUGGGGCGGUCUCCUCCUAAAGAGUAACGGAGGAGCUCGAAGGUACGCUCAGCGCGGUCGGACAUCGCGCACUGUGUGCAAAGGCAUAAGCGUGCUUGACUGCAAGAUCGACGGAUCAAGCAGGUAGGAAACUAGGACUUAGUGAUCCGGUGGUUCUGUAUGGAAGGGCCAUCGCUCAACGGAUAAAAGGUACUCCGGGGAUAACAGGCUGAUACCGCCCAAGAGUUCAUAUCGACGGCGGUGUUUGGCACCUCGAUGUCGGCUCAUCACAUCCUGGGGCUGUAGUCGGUCCCAAGGGUAUGGCUGUUCGCCAUUUAAAGUGGUACGCGAGCUGGGUUCAGAACGUCGUGAGACAGUUCGGUCCCUAUCUGCCAUGGGCGUUGGAGAUUUGAGAGGGGCUGCUCCUAGUACGAGAGGACCGGAGUGGACGAACCUCUGGUGUUCCGGUUGUCACGCCAGUGGCAUUGCCGGGUAGCUAUGUUCGGAAGCGAUAACCGCUGAAAGCAUCUAAGCGGGAAGCGCGCCUCAAGAUGAGAUCUCCCGGGGCACAAGCCCCCUGAAGGAACCAUGUAGACUACGUGGUUGAUAGGUCAGGUGUGUAAGUACAGCAAUGUAUUGAGCUAACUGAUACUAAUGAUCCGUGCGGCUUGACCAU
rnacentral:rRNA from 1 species